CGUGUAGGCGGCCAGACAGGUCAGCUGUGAAAACUCGAGGCUCAACCUCGAGACGUCGGUUGAAACCGUUUGGCUAGAGUCCGGAAGAGGAGAGUGGAAUUCCCGGUGUAGCGGUGAAAUGCGCAGAUAUCGGGAAGAACACCCGUGGCGAAGGCGGCUCUCUGGGACGGUACUGACGCUGAGACGCGAAGGCGUGGGGAGCGAACA
rnacentral:rRNA from 1 species